AAUACGAAGGGACCUAGCGUAGUUCGGAAUUACUGGGCUUAAAGAGCACGUAGGUGGUUAAAAAAGUUGGUGGUGAAAUCCCAGAGCUUAACUCUGGAACUGCCAUCAAAACUUUUUAGCUAGAGUAUGAUAGAGGAAAGUAGAAUUUCUAGUGUAGAGGUGAAAUUCGUAGAUAUUAGAAAGAAUACCAAUUGCGAAGGCAGCUUUCUGGAUCAUUACUGACACUGAGGUGCGAAAGCAUGGGUAGCGAAGAGGAUUAGAUACCCUCGUAGUCCAUGCCGUAAACGAUGUGUGCUAGACGUUGGAAAUUUAUUUUCAGUGUCGCAGCGAAAGCAUUAAGCACACCGCCUGGGGAGUACGACCGCAAGGUUAAAACUCAAAUGAAUUGACGGGGACCCGCACAAGCAGUGGAGCAUGUGGUUUAAUUCGAAGAUACGCGCAGAACCUUACCAACACUUGACAUGUUCGUCGCGACUUUAAGAGAUUAAAGUCUUCGGUUCGGCCGGACGAAACACAGGUGCUGCAUGGCUGUCGUCAGCUCGUGUCGUGAGAUGUUGGGUUAAGUCCCGCAACGAGCGCAACCCUUACUUUUAGUUGCCACCAUUUAGUUGAGCACUCUGAAAGAACUGCCAGUGAUAAGCUGGAGGAAGGUGGGGAUGACGUCAAGUCCUCAUGGCCCUUACGUGUUGGGCUACACACGUGCUACAAUGGCACUCACAAUAGGAAGCAAAGAGGCGACUCUAAGCAAAUCCUAAAAAAGUGCCUCAGUUCGGAUUGUACUCUGCAACUCGAGUACAUGAAGCUGGAAUUGCUAGUAAUCGCGGAUCAGCGCGCCGCGGUGAAUACGUUCCCGGGUCUUGCACACACCGCCCGUC
rnacentral:rRNA from 1 species